rnacentral:rRNA from 1 species
GAUGAACGCUAGCUACAGGCUUAACACAUGCAAGUCGAGGGGUAACAAGAGGAAAGCUUGCUUUUCUUGUUGACGACCGGCGCACGGGUGAGUAACGCGUAUCCAACCUGCCUAUAACUAGGGAAUAACCUUGCGAAAGUAAGACUAAUACCCUAUGAUUUCCUUUGAUGACAUCAGAUUAGGAAUGAAGAUUUAUCGGUUAUAGAUGGGGAUGCGUCUGAUUAGCUUGUUGGCGGGGUAACGGCCCACCAAGGCAACGAUCAGUAGGGGUUCUGAGAGGAAGGUCCCCCACAUUGGAACUGAGACACGGUCCAAACUCCUACGGGAGGCAGCAGUGAGGAAUAUUGGUCAAUGGGCGGAAGCCUGAACCAGCCAAGUAGCGUGCAGGAUGACGGCCCUAUGGGUUGUAAACUGCUUUUAUACAGGAAUAAAGUUAGCCACGUGUGGUUAUUUGUAGGUACUGUAUGAAUAAGGACCGGCUAAUUCCGUGCCAGCCGCCGCGGUAAUAC